rnacentral:rRNA from 1 species
UACGUAGGGUGCAAGCGUUGUCCGGAAUUAUUGGGCGUAAAGAGCUCGUAGGCGGUCUGUCGCGUCUGCUGUGAAAACUCGGGGCUUAACCCCGGGCCUGCAGUGGGUACGGGCAGGCUAGAGUGCGGUAGGGGUGACUGGAAUUCCUGGUGUAGCGGUGGAAUGCGCAGAUAUCAGGAGGAACACCGAUGGCGAAGGCAGGUCACUGGGCCGCAACUGACGCUGAGGAGCGAAAGCAUGGGGAGCGAACAGG